rnacentral:rRNA from 1 species
UACGGGGGGGGCAAGCGUUGUUCGGAAUUACUGGGCGUAAAGAGCUCGUAGGUGGUUUGUCGCGUUGUUCGUGAAAUCUCACGGCUUAACUGUGAGCGUGCGGGCGAUACGGGCAGACUUGAGUACUGCAGGGGAGACUGGAAUUCCUGGUGUAGCGGUGGAAUGCGCAGAUAUCAGGAGGAACACCGGUGGCGAAGGCGGGUCUCUGGGCAGUAACUGACGCUGAGGAGCGAAAGCGUGGGGAGCGAACAGG